rnacentral:rRNA from 1 species
UACGUAGGUGGCAAGCGUUGUCCGGAAUUAUUGGGCGUAAAGCGCGCGCAGGCGGUCCUUUAAGUCUGAUGUGAAAGCCCUCGGCUCAACCGAGGAGGGUCAUUGGAAACUGGAGGACUUGAGUGCAGAAGAGGAAAGUGGAAUUCCAAGUGUAGCGGUGAAAUGCGUAGAUAUCGGAAGGAACAUCAGUGGCGAAGGCGACUUCCUGGACCAAUACUGACGCUCAGGUGCGAAAGCGUGGGGAGCAAACAGG